CUUCUGGGUCGGGGUUUCGUACGU
rnacentral:piRNA from 5 species